rnacentral:lncRNA from 1 species
UGUGUUACCAUAUCUGAAACACAGUUCUGCUCAUUAAUUAGUGGUGUGUAUUCACAGGUUUUUUUUUUUUUCCAUUUUUACAGAUUUCACGUAUCUUAUUAUAGGAGUUACUCUGGGAGCCUUUCUAGCAAUUGCUUUUAUAGCAGUAAUAAUUUGCAUGAUCAAAAAACAAAUGCUUGACCAUGUCUUCAGAGGUCAAACAUGGGAUCAAGCCAGAACAGAGAUGACACCAACACAGCAGAACAGCAAAGUACAAAUAAGCAAUGAUCCUUUUCCUAUUGACAGUUACCCAGUCUGAGAAUCAAUGGAUAUCUCUUGCCCACGAACAGGAAUCUCACUAGCAGUAAUUCCUUUCUUUGUUCUUUAAUUGAAAGACCAAUUGAUUGAUUGAUUACAGGAUGAGCUUACAGUGCAUGCUAACAUCCAUCACCUGCAUCACAAAGCCCGUAAUCCCCAACAGCAUGCACAAGAAGGAAAUGUAGGAGGAAAAUAAACAAGAUGAGCUCUACUCA